UACGAAGGGAGCUAGCGUUGUUCGGAAUCACUGGGCGUAAAGCGCACGUAGGCGGAUGUGCCAGUCAGGGGUGAAAUCCCGGAGCUCAACUUCGGAACUGCCCUUGAUACAGCACGUCUUGAGUCCGAGAGAGGUGGAUGGAAUUCCUAGUGUAGAGGUGAAAUUCGUAGAUAUUAGGAAGAACACCGGUGGCGAAGGCGGUCCACUGGCCCGUUACUGACGCUGAGGCACGAAAGCGUGGGGAGCAAACAGG
rnacentral:rRNA from 1 species